CACACAAGUUGGUUGGUGAGUAAGAAAUUAAAACAUGCCUAUGACAGGAAACAAAGUGGGAGCAUUGGUUACGGCGGUUCUAGGAAUACUACUAGUUAUAGCAGAAUUAAGAAAUGGGUUGAGCUUGUGUAACAUGAAGGAAGAUGGACUAACGGCGUGUAAGCCAUCAGUAACAAAGCCAAAUCCGGUGGAGCCAUCUGCUUCUUGCUGUGAAGCCUUGUCUGGCGCAGAUUUGCAGUGCUUGUGUUCUUAUAGGAAUUCACUCUUAUUGCCCUCUCUUGGAAUUGAUCCUGAACUUGCCUUGGCUCUUCCUCCUAAAUGCAAUCUCACUUCUCCUGCUAACUGUUAAAAAUAUAAAGCUGUCUGCAAAAUGGCUGAUUUAGAAGAGAGGAGACAGAGAUGAUACCAACUCUCCUAAUGUAUUUCUAAGUUUGAUUUUCCAUGUACUCUAUUAAAUAGAAAAUAAAGUAAUCACCAGUAAAUUUGUGAUA